rnacentral:tRNA from 1 species
GGGGGUUUAGCUCAGCGGUAGAGCCUUCGCUUCGCAUGUGAAAGGUCCGGGGUUCAAACCCCCGCUCCUCCA